UCCUACGGGAGGCAGCAGUGAGGAAUAUUGGUCAAUGGGCGCAAGCCUGAACCAGCCAUCCCGCGUGAAGGAAGAAGGCGCUAUGCGUUGUAAACUUCUUUUCCAGGGGAAGAAAGUUCCGUAUGUAUACGGGAUUGCCGGUACCUUGGGAAUAAGCAUCGGCUAACUCCGUGCCAGCAGCCGCGGUAAUACGGAGGAUGCGAGCGUUAUCCGGAUUUAUUGGGUUUAAAGGGUGCGUAGGCGGACUGGUAAGUCAGUGGUGAAAUACUGCAGCUUAACUGUAGAAUUGCCGUUGAUACUGUCAGUCUUGAGUGUGGUUAAGGUAGGCGGAAUGUGUAAUGUAGCGGUGAAAUGCUUAGAUAUUACACAGAACACCGAUUGCGAAGGCAGCUUACUGAACCAUAACUGACGCUGAGGCACGAAAGCGUGGGGAGCGAACAGGAUUAGAUACCCGGGUAGUCC
rnacentral:rRNA from 1 species